rnacentral:rRNA from 1 species
GACGAACGCUGGCGGCGUGCCUAAUACAUGCAAGUAGAACGCUGAAGGAGGAGCUUGCUUCUCCGGAUGAGUUGCGAACGGGUGAGUAACGCGUAGGUAACCUGCCUGGUAGCGGGGGAUAACUAUUGGAAACGAUAGCUAAUACCGCAUAACAGUAGAUAUCGCAUGAUAUCUGCUUGAAAGGUGCAAUUGCAUCACUACCAGAUGGACCUGCGUUGUAUUAGCUAGUUGGUGAGGUAACGGCUCACCAAGGCGACGAUACAUAGCCGACCUGAGAGGGUGAUCGGCCACACUGGGACUGAGACACGGCCCAGACUCCUACGGGAGGCAGCAGUAGGGAAUCUUCGGCAAUGGACGGAAGUCUGACCGAGCAACGCCGCGUGAGUGAAGAAGGUUUUCGGAUCGUAAAGCUCUGUUGUAGGAGAAGAACGAGUGUGAGAGUGGAAAGUUCACACUGUGACGGUAUCUUACCAGAAAGGGACGGCUAACUACGUG